CAAAGGGCUCUUCUCCUGAGAGCCACCUUAUAUUCUCCUAAUAACUGUGU
rfam:Myotis davidii contig188988, whole genome shotgun sequence.